UUCCGGUUGAUCCUGCCGGACCUGACUGCUAUCGGAUUGAUACUAAGCCAUGCGAGUCUUUGUAGCAAUACAAGGCAGACGGCUCAGUAACACGUAGUCAAUCUAACCUAUGGACGAGGAUAACCUCGGGAAACUGAGAAUAAUACUCGAUAGACCAUAAUGCCUGGAACGGUUUAUGGUUCAAAUGAAUUUCGCCAUAGGGUGGGACUGCGGUCUAUCAGCUUGUUGGUGAGGUAAUGGCCCACCAAGGCUAUAACAGAUACGGGCUCUGAGAGGAGAAGCCCGGAGAUGGGUACUGAGACACGGACCCAGGCCCUAUGGGGCGCAGCAGGCGAGAAAACUUUGCAAUGUGCGAAAGCACGACAAGGUUAAUCCGAGUGGUUCCUGCUAAAGGAACCUUUUGUUAGUUGUAACACCACUGAUGAAUAAGGGGUGGGCAAGUUCUGGUGUCAGCCGCCGCGGUAAAACCAGCACCUCAAGUGGUCAGGAGGAUUAUUGGGCCUAAAGCAUCCGUAGCCGGCUCUGUAAGUUUUCGGUUAAAUCUAUAUGCUCAACAUAUGGGCUGCCGGGAAUACUGCAAAGCUAGGAAGUGGGAGAGGUAGACGGUACUCCGUAGGAAGGGGUAAAAUCCUUUGAUCUAUGGAUGACCACCUGUGGCGAAGGCGGUCUACCAGAACACGUUCGACGGUGAGGGAUGAAAGCUGGGGGAGCAAACCGGAUUAGAUACCCGGGUAGUCCCAGCUGUAAACUAUGCAAACUCAGUGAUGCAUUGGCUUGUGGCCAGUGCAGUGCCGCAGGGAAGCCGUUAAGUUUGCCGCCUGGGAAGUACGUACGCAAGUAUGAAACUUAAAAGGAAUUGGCGGGGGAGCACCACAAGGGGUGAAGCCUGCGGUUCAAUUGGAUUCAACGCCGGGA
rnacentral:rRNA from 1 species